rnacentral:rRNA from 1 species
UACGUAGGGGGCAAGCGUUGUCCGGAUUCAUUGGGCGUAAAGAGCGUGUAGGCGGCCAGGUAGGUCGGUUGUGAAAACUGGAGGCUCAACCUUCAGAGGUCGACCGAAACCAUCUGGCUAGAGUCCGGGAGAGGGACGUGGAAUUCCAGGUGUAGCGGUGAAAUGCGUAGAUAUCUGGAGGAACACCGGUGGCGAAGGCGACGUCCUGGACCGGCAUUGACGCUGAGGCGCGAAAGCCAGGGGAGCAAACGGG